rnacentral:rRNA from 1 species
ACGGAGGAUCCAAGCGUUAUCCGGAUUUAUUGGGUUUAAAGGGUGCGUAGGCGGCCUGUUAAGUCAGGGGUGAAAGACGGUAGCUCAACUAUCGCAGUGCCCUUGAUACUGAUGGGCUUGAAUACACUAGAGGUAGGCGGAAUGUGACAAGUAGCGGUGAAAUGCAUAGAUAUGUCACAGAACACCGAUUGCGAAGGCAGCUUACUAUGGUGUCAUUGACGCUGAGGCACGAAAGCGUGGGGAUCAAACAGGAUUAGAUACCCUGGUAGUCCACGCCCUAAACGAUGAAUACUCGCUGUUAGCGAUAUACAGUUAGCGGCUAAGCGAAAGCGUUAAGUAUUCCACCUGGGGAGUACGCCCGCAAGGGUG